GGAGCGGCGGAGGAGAGACGUGGGGAGGGGGGGGGGCGAGUGUGCAAGGUUGGGGGGGCGAGUGUGCAACGGGAUUACCACGGCGGCCGCUCCCGCAGGAAGAGCGUCCCCGGGGCAAACAGUACAGCAUCAACAUGGACGCACCGCCCGCCCCCCCCUUCCGGCCCUCGGUGAGCCCCCGCACACGCCUGUCGCCAUGGUGACCACGGCUGCACACGCCUGGCACCGCGGCUACCCGUCCUGCACACGCGUGUUGUUGUGGUGACCUCCAUCCUGCACACGCUUGUUGCCAUGGUUACCCCUCCUGGACAUACAUGUUGCCAUGGUUAUCCCUCCUGGACAUACGUGUUGUUGUGGUUAUUUCAUCCUGGACAUACAUGUUGCCAUGGUUACCCCAUCCUGGACAUACAUGUUGCCGUGGUUACCCUUCCUAGACACACAUGUUGUUGUGGUUACCCCAUCCUGCACACGCUUGUUGCCAUGGUUACCCCUCCUGGACAUACAUGUUGCCAUGGUUACUCUUCCUGUACAUACGUGUUGUUGUGGUGACCCCCAUCCUGCACAUGCUUGUUGUCAUGGUUACCCCUCCUGGACACGCGUGUUGUUGUGGUUACCCCAUCCUGGACAUACAUGUUGCCAUGGUUACCCCAUCCUGGACAUACAUGUUGCCAUGGUUACCCCUUCUGGACAUACGUGUUGUUGUGGUUAUUCCAUCCUGGACAUACAUGCUGUCAUGGUUACUUCUUCUGGACAUACAUGUUGCCAUGGUUACUCCUCCUGGACACACAUGUUGUUGUGGUUACCCCAUUCUGCACAUGCUUGUUGCCAUGGUUACUUCUCCUGGACAUACAUGUUGCUAUGGUUGCCUCAUCCUGGACACGCUUGUUGCCAUGGUUACCCCUCCCGGCCAUACAUGUUGCCAUGGUUACCCCUCCCGGCCAUACAUGUUGCCGUGUUUCCCGCGCUGCUCCUGCUCACGGUUGCUGCUGUUCCCGCCUCCAUGACACGCCUGUAGCCGUGCUUCCCGUGGCUGUGCACGCCUUCACACCCGUGUUGCUGCGGUUGCCGCCUCCCGCACACGCCUGUCGCCAUGGCGACCCCACGCUGGGCUGCCACGGUGCCCCAUCCCGCACACGGCUGCCGCUGCUCACCCGCCUGCCCUGCGUUGCCGUGGUGACCCCAUCCUGCACACGCGUGUUGUCACGGUUCCCCGUGCUGCGCACACACCCC
rnacentral:lncRNA from 1 species